AAUGUCGUAACAAGGUUUCCGUAGGUGAACCUGCGGAAUGGAUCAUUAAAAAUGUAAUUGGUUAUCAUAUCCUGUAUCAAUCUGCAAAACCCAUUCCGAGUACCUUGCCUGUUGCUUCCAUGGGGACCUGACUUUGGUCACUCUUGUGAUGCGAAUCCCAAGAGAGUCCCCGAUGGGGGGUUAAUCAUUAAAUUCAUGAAUCCAAUGUCUUCUGUCUGAAAUGUUAAAAAUCAAAGUGUUAAAAACC
rnacentral:misc_RNA from 1 species